rnacentral:tmRNA from 1 species
GGGGCCGACCUGGCUUCGACGUGGGUGGUGAAGCAGCGCAGUGCAUACCGAGGGCCAGUGACCUCGUAAAUCCAUCUGGAAAACUACAAACGCCAACGACGAGCGUUUCGCUCUAGCCGCUUAAUACCGGUUAGCGCUGCACCGGCAGGUCUCUGGGCCGGGUGGUCUUAGCGCAAGCUGAGCCGCUGCAGUGUCAUUCACAGGGAAUCGCGAGCAGCGCCGGGUUACUUGGUGUUGCAGCUAAAGGUUAGGUAACUCGCCCCUUGCCGGCCUGCCGGGCGGCUAAGCCGGGGGUUAAAC